CAUCAUUUCUAAAGUGAUCCUAUUUAAAAUCACAGACACUUAUCCCAGGUGAAAGAAUACAAUUUUUACCAACUAUAAUGAGAUUCAACAAUUACAGGAGAGUAAUUUUGAAAACAGAUGUCAUGAUACUCCCAGCCUAUGCAAAGCUUAUUUUAGUACUUUCAUUGGCAAUUCUUCACAAGGUGCUCAGGGUUGCUGUGGCUGUAAUUGAUAAGACUGAUUGCAUCACAAAGGACAGUAACAUGCUAAAUUCAUUUCAACUUUCAGAUUGUAUUUAUCAUAGAAUUUAUGUGAAAGCACUCAUUGUUUUGACUUAAAAAGGUUAAAACAAAGCUCAAUUUUACAUUCUAUUUUCUCUAUUGUUAACCAUUCACAGCACCCCAUUUCCUAACUUGUCUGGAAUGUAUAUCUUAGAGAAGAAGGUGAUUUUAUUGCUGGUAACUGAUUUGAUUUGUUAGAGAUGGAAAAAAGUUCGGGGCCAUUACUACUAAAAAUAGCCAGUGCCAUCACAUUUUUGAAGUUAAUGCAUAAUCCACUUGUCAAAUAUUAAUGUCCAUGAUUCCGAGUGUAAUAAUGUUCAUGAUUCUCUUCCUGUGGUUGGCAUUUCUUUUCUCUUCUAGUUAAAAUCUUACCUAUCCCUUGAUUUUUAAGACUUAUCAAGUAUGAAUCAUUCUUUAAGCCUUCUUCAUCUGAGUCAUGCCAUACACUGGAGGAUAAGCUGGUGCUAUACUGAGAAAGUUGAGUCCUUAAGCUCUAGCAGAUCAGCACCGAGUAACAGGAAAUGUUUAGAUGGUCAAUAUUGCAUAACUCUAAUUCAAGUUCUAAAUCUACCUUGACUUCUGAGCCUUAGUAUUCUUACCUGUAAAAUGGGGACAUUUUAUAGUAAUUCAAAAGUGUAUUAAGAAGAUGAAAUGAGGUAAAUCAGAUAGAACUUAAAUCUAGCACCCAGCACAUGGAGAAUAUUCAAUAAAAGUUGUUAAAAUUAUAAUUUACACAUUAAGAUUUCAGUAGGCUGAUAUAUCUACAAAUCUGUAUCUUAGCAUAUACUUUUUUGUUGAAGAAUUCUACUUUUAUUUAUAUAUUACUUCAGUUUUGCGUAUUAAAAUGAAAAUCUGGAUUGUAUUUCCUUGGUCGAAUUUAGGUUCUGGAUUUUAUAUUUAAUAAUUGAAAUGUCCUCUUCAAAUGAUUUGAUAUCUUCACAGUAAAAAAUAGGAAAUUUUAUUGAUGUGAACAUCUUACAUAUACAUGUGCAAAUGCGUAUAAUGUCAAGAUUCAUUAGUAGCAACCAACCACUAAAUUUCUUUUGAGAUUUUAAGUAGCAAUAAGAGUCCAUUCAACAAAUAUCAAGAAUUUAUCCUAUAAAAAGCAUAGUGUGAUGCCUUGAAAAUUGUGGGAAGGAGAGACAAAAUAUAGCACAUUUUGGCAAGAUAAAUGUUUCCUGGUUAUAUAAGCAAAGUAAUUUUAUUAAAUGCAGAAACUAUUGUCUUGCAUGAUAAAUGAGGACCAACAACACCCCAAAUUUACUUUCCAAGUAUGGUUUCCUCACAUUAAUACCCUUUCUACUUUCUAAAUUACCUUUUUGAGAAAACAUGGGAUAGUGGCUGGAGUCCAAACUGGCAAAUAUGGGUGCCGCAGUCUGGCUGGGCACAAUCAGGAGCCACUUGUCAAAAGAAACUAACUUUAUUUUUAGAACCACACACGCCAAACAAAACAGCCUCUCAG
rnacentral:lncRNA from 1 species